rnacentral:rRNA from 1 species
UUGAACGCUGGCGGCAGGCCUAACACAUGCAAGUCGCGCGGAUGAAGGGAGCUUGCUCCUGGAUUCAGCGGCGGACGGGUGAGUAAUGCCUAGGAAUCUGCCUGGUAGUGGGGGAUAACGUCCGGAAACGGGCGCUAAUACCGCAUACGUCCUGAGGGAGAAAGUGGGGGAUCUUCGGACCUCACGCUAUCAGAUGAGCCUAGGUCGGAUUAGCUAGUUGGUGGGGUAAAGGCCUACCAAGGCGACGAUCCGUAACUGGUCUGAGAGGAUGAUCAGUCACACUGGAACUGAGACACGGUCCAGACUCCCACGGGAGGCAGCAGUGGGGAAUAUUGGACAAUGGGCGAAAGCCUGAUCCAGCCAUGCCGCGUGUGUGAAGAAGGUCUUCGGAUUGUAAAGCACUUUAAGUUGGGAGGAAGGGCAGUAAGUUAAUACCUUGCUGUUUUGACGUUACCAACAGAAUAAGCACCGGCUAACUUCGUG